rnacentral:rRNA from 1 species
GCUUACGGCCACACCGGCCUGAGUACGCAUGAUCUCGUCCGAUCUCGGAAGCUAAGCAGGGUCGGGCCCUGGUUAGUACUUGGAUGGGAGACCGCCCUGGGAAUACCAGGUGCUGUAAGCU